CUUCUUCCUCUCCAGCUGGCACCCUGUGAAUCAUCAAAUCUUGCUUCUUUCAGGAACUGGAAGGUCCCAAUUAGGUCACCCCAAAGCCUUUUCUUUUCCAGUCUGAACAAACCCAAUUGUCUCAGCCUUUCCUUGUAGGAGAAGUGCUCCAUCCCCCUAAUCAACUCGGUGACCCUCCUCUGGGCUUGCUCCAACAGCGGUGUGAACAGUUGCUGAAUGCUGGAGAAGAUAGGACAAGAACUGUACAAAUAUGAACUUGCCACAAAACCCCUACUUCAUCCCUACCCUGAAGGCCGAGUUUAUGUUCUGAAAUAUCUGCUUGGAGUAGGAAUCUAUCAUUAUUUGUUCCAUCAUCAUGCUGGAAAUAGGAAAGCAUUUUGUACUCA